rfam:Gossypium hirsutum cultivar TM-1 unplaced genomic scaffold scaffold944.1, whole genome shotgun sequence
UGUUAAAAUUUUCAUCUAAUUAUAUUGUUAAAAACUGGUGUGACUAAUGGAAUUACCAAACAGUAACACGUGACGUGCCACAUGUACCUCAUGCUGAUGUACAUGGAUAAGUUUUACUAGUAGAAAUAGAUAAAAUUUGAAAUA